rnacentral:rRNA from 1 species
GAUCAUGGCUCAGGAUGAACGCUAGCUACAGGCCUAACACAUGCAAGUCGAGGGGCAUCGGGAGGGAAGCUUGCUUCCCUUGCCGGCGACCGGCGCACGGGUGAGUAACGCGUAUCGAACCUGCCCCAUACCCGGGGAUAACCUUGCGAAAGUAAGACUAAUACCCCCAUGGUCUCCACGGAUGGCAUCUGAAAUGGAGUAAAGGUUUCGGCUGGUUGCGGAUGGGGAUGCGUCCGAUUAGCUUGACGGCGGGGUAACGGCCCACCGUGGCAUCGAUCGGUAGGGGUUCUGAGAGGAAGGUCCCCCACAUUGGAACUGAGACACGGUCCAAACUCCUACGGGAGGCAGCAGUGAGGAAUAUUGGUCAAUGGGCGGAAGCCUGAACCAGCCAAGUAGCGUGAAGGACGACUGCCCUAUGGGUUGUAAACUUCUUUUAUGCGGGGAUAAAGUUCGCCACGUGUGGCGUUUUGCAGGUACCGCAUGAAUAAGGACCGGCUAAUUCCGUG